GACGAACGCUGGCGGCGUGCUUAACACAUGCAAGUCGAACGAAGUGGCGAACGGGUGAGUAACGCGUACUCAACCUGCCCUUCAGAGGGGGACAACAGUUGGAAAUGACUGCGAAUACCGCAUCAGGAAGGAGGGGAUUGUGUCAGAUAGGCUAGUUGGAGGGGUAAUGGCCCACCAAGGCGAUGAUCAGUAGCCGGUCUGAGAGGGUGAACGGCCACAUUGGGACUGAGACACGGCCCAGACUCCUACGGGAGGCAGCAGUGGGGAAUCUUCCGCAAUGGACGAAAGUCUGACGGAGCAACGCCGCGUGAGUGAUGACGGCCUUCGGGUUGUAAAGCUCUGUUAAUCAGGACGCGGUACCGGAAUAGAAAGCCACGGCUAACUACGUGCCAGCAGCCGCGGUAAUAC
rnacentral:rRNA from 1 species